UACGUAGGGGGCUAGCGUUGUCCGGAAUUAUUGGGCGUAAAGGGCUCGUAGGCGGUUCGUCACGUCGGGAGUGAAAACUCGGGGCUUAACCCCGAGCCUGCUUCCGAUACGGGCAGACUAGAGGUAUGCAGGGGAGAACGGAAUUCCUGGUGUAGCGGUGAAAUGCGCAGAUAUCAGGAGGAACACCGAUGGCGAAGGCAGGUCUCUGGGCAUUAACUGACGCUGAGGAGCGAAAGCAUGGGGAGCGAACAGG
rnacentral:rRNA from 1 species